GACGAACGCUGGCGGCGUGCUUAACACAUGCAAGUCGAGCGGUAAGGCCCUUUCGGGGGUACACGAGCGGCGAACGGGUGAGUAACACGUGGGUGACCUGCCCUUAGCUCUGGGAUAAGCCUGGGAAACUGGGUCUAAUACCGGAUAUGACUCCAUGACGCAUGUUGUGGGGUGGAAAGCCUUGUGCGGCUAGGGAUGGGCCCGCGGCCUAUCAGCUUGUUGGUGGGGUGAUGGCCUACCAAGGCGACGACGGGUAGCCGGCCUGAGAGGGCGACCGGCCACACUGGGACUGAGACACGGCCCAGACUCCUACGGGAGGCAGCAGUGGGGAAUCUUGCGCAAUGGGCGAAAGCCUGACGCAG
rnacentral:rRNA from 1 species